AACCUUUACACUGCACGACAGUGCGAUAGGGGGACUCCGAGUGCGAGGGCAUAUAGUCCUCGCUUUUCUGUACCGUAAGGAGGUACAGGAACAAGUGCUGGGCAAGACCGGUGCCAGCCGCCGCGGUAAUACCGGCAGCACAAGUGAUGGCCGAUCUUAUUGGGCCUAAAGCGUUCGUAGCCUGCCGGACAAGUUCGUUGGGAAAUCCACGCGCUCAACGCGUGGGCGCCCAGCGAAAACUGUCUGGCUUGGGGCCGGAAGACUCGAGGGGUACGUCCGGGGUAGGAGUGAAAUCCCGUAAUCCUGGACGGACCGCCGAUGGCGAAAGCACCUCGAGAGGACGGACCCGACGGUGAGGGACGAAAGCCAGGGUCUCGAACCGGAUUAGAUACCCGGGUAGUCCUGGCCGUAAACGAUGUCCGCUAGGUGUGGCGCAGGCUACGAGCCUGCGCUGUGCCGUAGGGAAGCCGUGAAGCGAACCGCCUGGGAAGUACGUCUGCAAGGAUGAAACUUAA
rnacentral:rRNA from 1 species